rnacentral:rRNA from 1 species
UACGGGGGGGGUAAGCGUUGUUCGGAAUUACUGGGCGUAAAGGCUCGUAGGCGGCCAACUAAGUCAUACGUGAAAUCCCUCAGCUUAACUGGGGAACUGCGUGUGAUACUGGAUGGCUUGGAUUUGGGAGAGGGAUGCGGAAUUCCAGGUGUAGCGGUGAAAUGCGUAGAUAUCUGGAGGAACACCGGUGGCGAAGGCGGCAUCCUGGACCAAUAUUGACGCUGAGGAGCGAAAGCCAGGGGAGCCAAAGCGGGG